rnacentral:rRNA from 1 species
AGUAAAAGUCGUAACAAGGUUUCCGUAGGUGAACCUGCGGAAGGAUCAUUAGCGAAGUUCGGAAUGCCGGUUCGGUGCUGCAGCUGCCCAGCGAUGGGAUGUGCUCGUCCGGGCCGGUGUCCCUUCUCUAUUCCACCCCACUGUGAACCAAGCGUGCGAGCAGAAGAGAGAUCGGAAGCUCGCAUGCACACUUUAACAUACCCCCUUAUGAAGUAUCUGAAUGUACCUUGCGUUAACUCGCACAAAUACAACUUUCAACAACGGAUCUCUUGGCUCUCGCAUCGAUGAAGAACGCAGCGAAAUGCGAUAAGUAAUGUGAAUUGCAGAAUUCAGUGAAUCAUCGAAUCUUUGAACGCACCUUGCGCCCUUUGGCAUUCCGAAGGGCACGCCUGUUUGAGUGUCGUGAACUCCUCCACUCUCUGCUUUUCUCGAAAGGCAUUGGGCUGGGAUUUGGGAGCUUGCGGGUCCCUGGCCGAUCCGCUCUCCUUGAAUACAUUAGCGAAGCCCUUGCGGCCUUGGUGUGAUAGUCAUCUACGCCUUGGCUUAGCGAACAUAUGGGAGUCGCUUCCAACCGUCCCUCUGCGGACAAUCACUACCAACUUGACCUCGAAUCAGGCGGGACUACCCGCUGAACUUAAGCAUAUCAAUAAGCGGAGGA